UGAGUAAUACGUGAGUAACCUGCCCUUGACUCUGGGAUAAGCCCGGGAAACUGGGUCUAAUACUGGAUGCUACAUGUCACCGCAUGGUGGUGUGUGGAAAGGGUUUACUGGUCUUGGAUGGGCUCACGGCCUAUCAGCUUGUUGGUGAGGUAAUGGCUCACCAAGGCGACGACGGGUAGCCGGCCUGAGAGGGUGACCGGCCACACUGGGACUGAGACACGGCCCAGACUCCUACGGGAGGCAGCAGUGGGGAAUAUUGCACAAUGGGCGAAAGCCUGAUGCAGCGACGCCGCGUGAGGGAUGACGGCCUUCGGGUUGUAAACCUCUUUCAGCAGGGAAGAAGCCACAAGUGACGGUACCUGCAGAAGAAGCGCCGGCUAACUACGUGCCAGCAGCCGCGGUAAUACGUAGGGCGCAAGCGUUGUCCGGAAUUAUUGGGCGUAAAGAGCUCGUAGGCGGUUUGUCGCGUCUGCUGUGAAAGCCCGGGGCUUAACCCCGGGUGUGCAGUGGGUACGGGCAGACUAGAGUGCAGUAGGGGAGACUGGAAUUCCUGGUGUAGCGGUGGAAUGCGCAGAUAUCAGGAGGAACACCGAUGGCGAAGGCAGGUCUCUGGGCUGUUACUGACGCUGAGGAGCGAAAGCAUGGGGAGCGAACAGGAUUAGAUACCCUGGUAGUCCAUGCCGUAAACGUUGGGCACUAGGUGUGGGGGACAUUCCACGUUUUCCGCGCCGUAGCUAACGCAUUAAGUGCCCCGCCUGGGGAGUACGGCCGCAAGGCUAAAACUCAAAGGAAUUGACGGGGGCCCGCACAAGCGGCGGAGCAUGCGGAUUAAUUCGAUGCAACGCGAAGAACCUUACCAAGGCUUGACAUAUACCGGAUCGUUCCAGAGAUCGUUCUUCCCCUUUGGGGGUCGGUAUACAGG
rnacentral:rRNA from 1 species